rnacentral:rRNA from 1 species
UACAGAGGGGGCAAGCGUUAUUCGGAAUUAUUGGGCGUAAAGGGCGCGUAGGCGGCUUUGGCAAGUGGAUGGUGAAAUCCCCUCGGCUUAACCGAGGAACUGCCAUCCAGACUGCUUUUGCUUGAGGCCCGGGAGAGGUGAGUGGAAUUCCCAGUGUAGCGGUGAAAUGCGUAGAUAUUGGGAGGAACACCAGUGGCGAAGGCGCUCACUGGACCGGUUCUGACGCUGAGGCGCGAAAGCGUGGGGGAGCAAACGGG